CCCCUUCUCUACUCUUCUCUUCGUCACUUCCUCUCUCCUCCCAACACAUAGACCGACUUCCUCUCUCUCUCUCCACACUCAUUCUCGCCUCACUACAAGAAAAUACAUUCCGAAGAACCAGAAGCUCUGACUAUCACUAGCUUUCUCCGGUGAGAGAAUCGAUCACUGCCUUCUCCGGUGUCAGAAACGGUUAGCUUCGAAGCCCAAACGAGGAAUCUAAAUCCUUAAUUUUCAUCAUCGGCACAAUCGUUUAGGAUGCGUUUUGUUAGCCCCGACCCUACAAUGAUUUCCAAUUAUCUUACACACAUGCGAAGGAAUCUGCAAAAGCUUCAAUAGAUACAAUUGAGAUGGCAUAUCCGAAGGCAAAAUUGGUUCUUGUGGUUGCAAUGGCACGUGACAAAGACCAUUCGGGCUUUGCCAGAGAACUACUUUCAGAUCGACGCUUUAAUGGAGUAUGCCGCAGUUAUACUUCUGGUUAUUAACUAUGAAGAUCAAAGAUAUUGUGGACGUGCUUGGAUGUUUUAAGGUUAUCCGUUUGUUGAAGUUAAACUUUUUGGUAUUUUGUGGCCUUGGAGUUUAGAUACAUUUUGUAGUUGGAGACGUGCCGUAUUUUUCUACUCUAAGAAUUUGGAGACAAGUUGUUAUCACCAUAUUUGGUGGACACUAUAUUUAUGAAAUUUUGGAUCUGUUUAUUGGAAUUUAUAUUAAUUGCAUUAGGUUGGUAAUUUUGUGGAUGUAAUGAUCGUUGGCUCAAAUUUAUAGGUUUUGUAGAAUGAAGAAAAAAUUUGU